rnacentral:rRNA from 1 species
UGCCAGCAGCCGCGGUAAUACGGGAGUGGCAAGCGUUAUCCGGAAUUAUUGGGCGUAAAGGGUACGCAGGCGGGACUUUAAGUCAGUGGUGAAAGCCUCCAGCUUAACUGGAGAAUUGCCAUUGAAACUGAAGUUCUUGAGUAUGGAUGAGGUGGUUGGAAUAUAACAUGUAGCGGUGAAAUGCAUAGAUAUGUUAUAGAACACCAAUUGCGAAGGCAGAUCACUAAACCAUUACUGACGCUGAGGUACGAAAGCGUGGGUAGCGAACAGGAUUAGAUA